GUAAAUUUGUCAACAUAUAUAACUUGGAUGAACUGACUUCCACUCACGAAGCGGAACCUUUGACAAGACGUCUGCCAACUUAUCAGAGAAAAAAAGAAGACAGUAAAUGCACAGAUGCCCCAUCCACAUCGUCAGCUUCUGUGGUCAUCGAAUCAGAUAGUGAAUCAGAACCAAGUAUUGUUGAGUCUUUGCCUGAGAAUGCAACCAUGCGGCAGCCUCAUUUUACCAUGGACAAUGACAUUGCAAAACUGUGUGACGAAGACUCUGAAUGUGAUUCUGAUGAUGGUCUUGACUUUCAGGAUGAAAAAGGCAACACCAAUUGUCAUAUGUUAUUUUGUUUUGAGUCUGACUAGAAUCUAAAGCUGUUGUCAAUCAUAUAAAAGUUGUAAUCACUAGAACACGCAAGUGUUUACUUUAUAAAGUGUAUACACAGGCUGCACCUUGCAAUAAAUAUGAGUUAAACUUCA